rnacentral:hammerhead_ribozyme from 1 species
GUACUGCUGAAGAGUCCCAAACAAAGACGAAACAGUUGUCCAGUAC